CUUUCUUUGCUGGCGACCGGCGCGCGGGUGAGUAACACGUAUCCAACCUGCCCUUUACUCGGGGAUAGCCUUUCGAAAGAAAGAUUAAUACCCGAUAGUAUAAUGAUUCCGCAUGGUUUCAUUAUUAAAGGAUUCCGGUAAAGGAUGGGGAUGCGUUCCAUUAGGUUGUUGGUGAGGUAACGGCUCACCAAGCCUUCGAUGGAUAGGGGUUCUGAGAGGAAGGUCCCCCACAUUGGAACUGAGACACGGUCCAA
rnacentral:rRNA from 1 species